AUGCACCGGAGUCUAGCAUGACAGUGAGUCUUAUUUGUGUUGAUUCGGAUUUAAUAAUACAUCUUUCUUGUUUGAUUGAUAAGUUUAAUCUAAAGUGAAUAGUUGAGGAAGGUUUGUGAUUGGUUUGGCAUUUGGAGCAUUGGCUCGGACUAGAAAUUGUUAUUCGAGGAAUGAAUAAUUAAUAAAGGAAGUGUUGUGAUGAUUCCCUUGCGGGGAGUUACGCAUUUAUUGUAUCUUCCUUGCCGGGAUAUUUGUGAUGGUAGUUG
rnacentral:lncRNA from 1 species